rnacentral:rRNA from 1 species
AUUGAACGCUGGCGGCAGGCCUAACACAUGCAAGUCGAGCGAGCGGCGGACGGGUGAGUAAUGUAUGGGGACUGCCCGAUAGAGGGGGAUAACUACUGGAAACGGUAGCUAAUACCGCAUCCUAUCGGAUAACCCAUAUGGGAUUAGCUAGUAGAGGAGGUAAUGGCUCACCUAGGCGACGAUCCCUAGCUGGUCUGAGAGGAUAAUCAGCCAAACGGGGACUGAGACACGACCCAGACUCCUACGGAGGUAGCAGUGGGGAAUAUUGCACAAUGGGCGCAAGCCUGAUGCAGCCAGGCAGCGUGUAUGAAGAAAGCCCUAGGGUUGUAAAGUACUUUCAGGCGGGAGGCGUUACCGGCAGAAGAAGCACCGGCUAACACCGUGCCGGCCGCCGGGGUAAUUC